rnacentral:lncRNA from 1 species
UCUCCAACCAAACGCCCUCAAUAAUUUAUUAUUUUAAGUCUGUUCUUUAAUUUUAUUGGUUAAUUGAAUUAAACUAUCAUAUUAAAAUAAGAUUUCCAUACAUAUUUUGAGUGUCACUUGUCUCUAAAUGAUAAUAAGCCUCCAGACAUAUUUUGAGUGCCACUUGAAGAUGUAGCCAUUUGAAAAUUAUUGACACAGUUAACCAAAUGAGAGCUUGAACCUAUUUACUUGUGAAACCCUUCACAAUUAAUGAGAACUCCUC